UUAAUAAUUUAUAUAUAAUAUUACGGUAUUUAUAUAAUAUUAACAUAAUUCAUAUUACUUUAUUUUUAGAGUAUAUGAAAUUUUACUUUGAGAAAAUUAGAGUGCUUAAAGCAGGCAUAUGCCUUGAAUACUCCAGCAUGGAAUAAUAUUAAAGAUUUUUAUCUUUCUUAUUGGUUCUAAGAUAAAAAUAAUGAUUAAUAGGGACAGUUGGGGGCAUUUGUAUUUAACAGUCAGAGGUGAAAUUCUUAGAUUUGUUAAAGACAAACUAGUGCGAAAGCAUUUGCCAAGGAUGUUUUCAUUAAUCAAGAACGAAAGUUAGGGGAUCGAAGACGAUCAGAUACCGUCGUAGUCUUAACCAUAAACUAUGCCAACUAG
rnacentral:rRNA from 1 species